UCGCCGCCCUAGCCGCCAGAUUAGCUCCGGCAAGCCUUGAACUGCAACCCAAGAAAUGGGUUUCCAGCUGGUUCGGGCCCCGCUUUUGGGCCGUUUCCGAGCCCCAAACCCGAGCCGUGCUUUGGGAAGAAUCAUUCCUUGCGUCACCCCCGUCGGAUUGAUCCAAUUUGCGCGCGAUUUGGUGAGUAAUCUCACUAAUUCCGGAUUAGUUGGCUAAUUAUGCUUAAGGUUGGUUUAGUUUUAAUUAAUUAGGUUUAGGUUGUUAGAUUAGAAUAAAUUAACAAUUAUUAGUCAAUUGUUAUGCGGUUUAGUUAAAUUGAUUGCGCAAUUAAUAAGUAGAUGUGGUCUACUAAUUAUUGGAAGCAUCUCGGGAAUUUUCCAACCCCUAAUUGGGCUUUAAUUUGGCGAUUCGGGCCUAAGUGGGAUUUUUGGCAUUUAAAUAUUAUUUUUCGGAAUUAAAUUAAUUAUUUAUUUAUUUUCUGAAAAUUCAACUGGGAUGGCCAGUGACCGGAAUAUUAUGCUGAUGAUCGUAAUGAAGUCCGUUUAUUUAAUUGGGCUUUAUUUUGAGCUAAAUUGAAUUUUUAAUAUUAAUUAUUUAAUUUCCGAAAUUAAUUAAUUAUUUAUUUAUUUUCCGAAAAUUCAAUUGAGAUGGCUAGUGACCGGAAAUUUAUGUUGGUAAUCGUGGUGCAGUCCGUUUAUUUAAUUGGGCCUUAUUUUGAGCAAAACGGAAUUUUUAAUAUUUAAUAAUUAAUUUUCGAAAGAAAUAAAUUAAUUAAUUAUUUUUCGGAAAUUAAGAUUGAGAUGGCCGACGACCGAAAUCUCGUGCUGAUUGUCGGGGCACAGUCCAUUUAUUUAUUUGAGCUUUAAUUUGUACUGAAUUGAUUUAAUUGUGGAUUUUUAGGAUAUGUUCCUAAAUUGAUUAUUUGGGUAAAUUGAGUACGAAUUAAGGUUGUGGAUAAUUACUUUAGAAAUGAGAUGAAUCAUCAUGAAAGGCACGUGGCUCGGUGAAUAGUACAUCAUCUCGGAGAAUGCACGUGGCUUCGUGAUUUGGUAUAUCGCUUCAGAGAAUGCACGUGACUCGGUGAUUAAUACGUCGCCUUGGAGAGUACACGGGGCUUGAUGAUUAGAUAUGUCACCUCGGAGAAUGCACAUGGCUCGGUGAUGAAGUAUGUCGCCUUGGAUAAUGCAUGUGACUCGGUGACUAAAUGUAUAUAUCACCUCAGAAAAUGCACAUGGCUCAGUGACGAAGUAUGUCACCUUGGAGAAUGCAUGUGGCUCAAUGAUUAAGUGUGGCAUCUUGAAAGAGACACGUGGGCUCGGUAAUUUGAUGCAUUACCUCGGAGAAUGCACGUGUUCUCAAUGAGUACAUUUGGCAUCUUGAAGAGACACGUGGGCUCGGUGACUUGAUGCAUCGCCUUGGAGAAUGCACGUGGGCUCGCUGAUUCAAAAUAACAUUUUAAAGAGCAAGUGGCUCGAUGAUCGGUUCCAUCACCUUGGAGAAUGCACGUGGCUCGAUGAUAAAGAAUAUCGCCUCGGAGAAUGCACGUGACUCGGUGAUUGGUUUUAUCAGUUGAGACUGUAUAGCAAUGACUAGAAUGACCUAGAGAUGGUUCGGCUGACAUGUAAUCGACUAAGUCGAUUGAUCAUUGCCUUGAGUCUGAUGUUGCAAAUUGAUUGACUGAAUGGAAAUGACCGUGAGUGGUCUUGUUGGCUUGUAAUCGACUGGGUCGAUUUGAUCGAUGCUUCGAUCUGUGAUAUGAUUACUUGGGUGUCUAUUGUGAAUUGUACUGACUUGCAGGUGGGAUCUGAGGCCAAGGUAAGUCCUCUAACCUGUGCGUGUUUAGGCAGCCUAUAGUAUAAUGGUUUACUAAUUGGGCCUUAGUAGGGCAGAAUUCGCUAAGACGUAGUCUCAUCCCAGUUUGAGGAAACAUUUCAGGACCCUGAUGAGGAGCUGAGGAGGAGGAGUCUGAGAAGGAGAACUCGAAGGUGAAACCUGAGGAGAAGGAUUUUUGAAAGAAGAAGAUAAUACUGAGAGGAGUCUUAAAUAUGAUCCGGAUGAACUGAGAUUCUAUCUUCUUUUGAGAUCUCUAAUUUGAUGUGAAUAGAAAUAGAGUGAAAAGUUGUGAAGUACUUUCGUUUGUGUUUUGUAUAAAAGUUUGGUUAUAAGUUUCAAUAUGAAAAAUAUG
rnacentral:lncRNA from 1 species